rnacentral:rRNA from 1 species
CCUACGGGUGGCAGCAGUGAGGAAUAUUGGUCAAUGGGCGAGAGCCUGAACCAGCCAAGUCGCGUGAAGGAUGACGGUCCUAUGGUUUGUAAACUUCUUUUAUAGGGGAGCAAAGUGAGGAACGUGUUCCUUUUUGUAUGUACCAUACGAAUAAGCAUCGGCUAACUACGUGCCAGCAGCCGCGGUAAUACGGAGGGUGCGAGCGUUAUCCGGAUUUAUUGGGUUGAAAGGGGGUGUAGGUGGUUAAUUAAGUCAGCGGUGAAAGUUUGUGGCUCAAACAUAAAAUUGCCGUUGAAACUGGUUGACUUGAGUAUAUUAGAGGUAGGCGGAAUGCGUGGUGUAGCGGUGAAAUGCUUAGAUAUCACGAAGAACUCCGAUUGCGAAGGCAGCUUACUGAGCUGCCACUGACGUUGAUGCUCGAAAGUGUGGGUAUCAAACAGGAGUAGAUACCCGUGUAGUC